UGGGGAAUAUUGCACAAUGGGCGCAAGCCUGAUGCAGCCAUGCCGCGUGUAUGAAGAAGGCCUUCGGGUUGUAAAGUACUUUCAGCGAGGAGGAAGGCGUUGUGGUUAAUAACCGCAGCGAUUGACGUUACUCGCAGAAGAAGCACCGGCUAACUCCGUGCCAGCAGCCGCGGUAAUACGGAGGGUGCAAGUGUUAAUCGGAAUUACUGGGCGUAAAGCGCACGCAGGCGGUCUGUCAAGUCGGAUGUGAAAUCCCCGGGCUCAACCUGGGAACUGCAUCCGAAACUGGCAGGCUAGAGUCUUGUAGAGGGGGGUAGAAUUCCAGGUGUAGCGGUGAAAUGCGUAGAGAUCUGGAGGAAUACCGGUGGCGAAGGCGGCCCCCUGGACAAAGACUGACGCUCAGGUGCGAAAGCGUGGGGAGCAAACA
rnacentral:rRNA from 1 species